ensembl:lncRNA
ACGUAAUCUCUUAGAAAGAGAAUGCGGCAUUUCCAGCGAAAUAAGCCUCCUCUACAUGUUUCAGAAAUGACACCAAGAGGUCUUUAAACUGAAUGCUUACACGGGCAGCCUCUAUUUCGAGGGUAAAGUCUCAACACGUCGGCCAUCAGCUGGUUGAGUGCAUGGUUCCUACUGGGGGGCCUCGAGCGUAUAGGCAGGACCUCUCCGGACAGACCGUAAGAAAACCACAGAAUCCCCCGUCAUCCGUUCAGUCCUGCCUCUGCCGUUUCUCUGCAUAAUGAAGCUGUCUCUAAAUACUCUUUUCCAAAAACUCGUACGCAGGGUCUUGGCAGAGACUUACGACCGUCUGGAUCGCGUGGCAAUUUCCCAACCGGGAAGAGUCAACUUGAUCAAUCGCAAC